UAGUUUCCGCCAGGGAAGCCGGAAAAGCUCAAAUUUAAAAUCUGGCGGUCCUUUGGCCGUCCGAGUUGUAAUUUAGAGAAGCGUCUUCCGCGCCGGACCGUGCACAAGUCUCCUGGAAUGGAGCGUCAUAGAGGGUGAGAAUCCCGUCUUUGGCACGGAUGCCUGGUGCUUCUGUGAUGCGCUCUCGAAGAGUCGAGUUGUUUGGGAAUGCAGCUCAAAAUGGGUGGUGAACUCCAUCUAAAGCUAAAUAUUGGCGAGAGACCGAUAGCGAACAAGUACCGUGAGGGAAAGAUGAAAAGCACUUUGGAAAGAGAGUGAAACAGUACGUGAAAUUGUUGAAAGGGAAACGCUUGAAGUCAGUCGCGUCGUCCGAGACUCAGCCUUGCCUUGGCUUGGUGUACUUCUCGGCCCGACGGGUCAGCAUCAAUUUCUCCCCUCGGAUAAUGGCAAGGGAAAGGUGGCACCUUUACGGGUGUGUUAUAGUCUCCUGUCGCAUGCGAGGGGUGGGAUUGAGGAACUCAGCACGCACCUCGGUGUCGGGGCUUCGGCCCACGUCACGUGCUUAGGAUGCUGGCGUAAUGGCUUUAAGCGACCCGUCUUGAAACACGGACCAAGGAGUCCAACGUGCACGCGAGUGUUCGGGUGGAAAACCCGUGCGCGCAAUGAAAGUAAAAGUUGGGACCUCUGUCGUGAGGGCACCGACGCCCGGACCAGACCUUCUGUGACGGAUCUGCGGUAGAGCGUGCAUGUUGGGACCCGAAAGAUGGUGAACUAUGCCUGAUAGGGUGAAGCCAGAGGAAACUCUGGUGGAGCUCGUAGCGAUUCUGACGUGCAAAUCGAUCGUC
rnacentral:rRNA from 1 species